GAUGAACGCUGGCGGCGUGCCUAAUACAUGCAAGUCGAGCGAACAGACGAGGAGCUUGCUCCUCUGACGUUAGCGGCGGACGGGUGAGUAACACGUGGAUAACCUACCUAUAAGACUGGGAUAACUUCGGGAAACCGGAGCUAAUACCGGAUAAUAUAUUGAACCGCAUGGUUCAAUAGUGAAAGACGGUUUUGCUGUCACUUAUAGAUGGAUCCGCGCCGCAUUAGCUAGUUGGUAAGGUAACGGCUUACCAAGGCGACGAUGCGUAGCCGACCUGAGAGGGUGAUCGGCCACACUGGAACGGAGACACGGUCCAGACUCCUACGGGAGGCAGCAGGAGGGAAUCUUCCGCAAUGGGCGAAAGCCUGACGGAGCAACGCCGCGGGAGUGAUGAAGGUCUUCGGAUCGUAAAACUCUGUUAUUAGGGAAGAACAAAUGUGUAAGUAACUAUGCACGUCUUGACGGUACCUAAUCAGAAAGCCACGGCUAACUAC
rnacentral:rRNA from 1 species